rnacentral:tRNA from 1 species
CAUUGGCUUUGGUUGGUGCUGUCAGCCGAGCGCCCCACGCGCGCUGGAAAUCCGGCUGAUUGCCUCGACGUUCCACCUGUCGCUGGUGC